CCCCCCCCAAAAAAAAAGGAAAAAUAAAUCAACAAAAUUUCUGGCUCCGUGGCGACCUUCAUGUAGGGGAGUUCCGGCAAGAAAUUCUAGCCACUUUCACCCCUGCCUCCUGCCCGGCGGCCAGUGUGCAUCCAAGAAGGACUUUCGGUGUGAAGCUCCGUCUGAUGAUUGCUCCAUUCCCCCUGCCGAGCGGAGCUAAAUGAGAACUUCAGUAAAUGGGAAGGAGUUGGCGAUGUUUUCUCCCAUUUGCCGAGCGAUUCGUCUUCCUAUUUGGACUAAUGGGGAGCGCACCACUUCAGCAAUCCCCAAAGUGCUGCGGAAGCGCUUGCGACGUGCGCAG